rnacentral:rRNA from 2 species
GAGUAACACGUGGAUAACCUACCUAUAAGACUGGGAUAACUUCGGGAAACCGGAGCUAAUACCGGAUAAUAUUUUGAACCGCAUGGUUCAAAAGUGAAAGACGGUCUUGCUGUCACUUAUAGAUGGAUCCGCGCUGCAUUAGCUAGUUGGUAAGGUAACGGCUUACCAAGGCAACGAUGCAUAGCCGACCUGAGAGGGUGAUCGGCCACACUGGAACUGAGACACGGUCCAGACUCCUACGGGAGGCAGCAGUAGGGAAUCUUCCGCAAUGGGCGAAAGCCUGACGGAGCAACGCCGCGUGAGUGAUGAAGGUCUUCGGAUCGUAAAACUCUGUUAUUAGGGAAGAACAUAUGUGUAAGUAACUGUGCACAUCUUGACGGUACCUAAUCAGAAAGCCACGGCUAACUACGUGCCAGCAGCCGCGGUAAUACGUAGGUGGCAAGCGUUAUCCGGAAUUAUUGGGCGUAAAGCGCGCGUAGGCGGUUUUUUAAGUCUGAUGUGAAAGCCCACGGCUCAACCGUGGAGGGUCAUUGGAAACUGGAAAACUUGAGUGCAGAAGAGGAAAGUGGAAUUCCAUGUGUAGCGGUGAAAUGCGCAGAGAUAUGGAGGAACACCAGUGGCGAAGGCGACUUUCUGGUCUGUAACUGACGCUGAUGUGCGAAAGCGUGGGGAUCAAACAGGAUUAGAUACCCUGGUAGUCCACGCCGUAAACGAUGAGUGCUAAGUGUUAGGGGGUUUCCGCCCCUUAGUGCUGCAGCUAACGCAUUAAGCACUCCGCCUGGGGAGUACGACCGCAAGGUUGAAACUCAAAGGAAUUGACGGGGACCCGCACAAGCGGUGGAGCAUGUGGUUUAAUUCGAAGCAACGCGAAGAACCUUACCAAAUCUUGACAUCCUUUGACAACUCUAGAGAUAGAGCCUUCCCCUUCGGGGGACAAAGUGACAGGUGGUGCAUGGUUGUCGUCAGCUCGUGUCGUGAGAUGUUGGGUUAAGUCCCGCAACGAGCGCAACCCUUAAGCUUAGUUGCCAUCAUUAAGUUGGGCACUCUAAGUUGACUGCCGGUGACAAACCGGAGGAAGGUGGGGAUGACGUCAAAUCAUCAUGCCCCUUAUGAUUUGGGCUACACACGUGCUACAAUGGACAAUACAAAGGGCAGCGAAACCGCGAGGUCAAGCAAAUCCCAUAAAGUUGUUCUCAGUUCGGAUUGUAGUCUGCAACUCGACUACAUGAAGCUGGAAUCGCUAGUAAUCGUAGAUCAGCAUGCUACGGUGAAUACGUUCCCGGGUCUUGUACACACCGCCCGUCACACCACGAGAGUUUGUAACACCCGAAGCCGGUGGAGUAACCUUUUAGGAGCUAGCCGUCGAAGGUGGGACAAAUGAUUGGGGUGAAGUCGUAACAAGGUAGCCGUAUCGGAAGGUGCGGCUG